AGCGAACGCUGGCGGCAGGCCUAACACAUGCAAGUCGAACGAACCUUUCGGGGUUAGUGGCGGACGGGUGAGUAACACGUGGGAACGUGCCUUUAGGUUCGGAAUAACUCAGGGAAACUUGUGCUAAUACCGAAUGUGCCCUUCGGGGGAAAGAUUUAUCGCCUUUAGAGCGGCCCGCGUCUGAUUAGCUAGUUGGUUGAGGUAAUGGCUCACCAAGGCGACGAUCAGUAGCUGGUCUGAGAGGAUGAUCAGCCACAUUGGGACUGAGACACGGCCCAAACUCCUACGGGAGGCAGCAGUGGGGAUUCUUGCGCAAUGGGCGAAAGCCUGACGCAGCCAUGCCGCGUGAAUGAUGAAGGUCUUAGGAUUGUAAAAUUCUUUCACCGGGGACGAUAAUGACGGUACCCGGAGAAGAAGCCCCGGCUAACUUCGUG
rnacentral:rRNA from 1 species